GGGGAUUUGGCUCUUAUUGCAAAGAGAAAGAGGAGGGAGGCGGAGUCUUCUGAGUUUCUCCGGAUUUCCACUUUAGGUGGCUACAGAGUCUGGGUGCUGGACUGACUUUAGAGGGCGUGCUCGUCCUCUUUGCUCUCCGCGGCGACGUGGCCGUCCAUGUCGGGCCACAGAUCCAUAUUCCUGCGCAGCGAGACAAUGAUGGGAGCCAGAGAGGUCUUGGCCAGCUGAGACGGGUGGUUGAUGGUGUCGGCGUCCAGGGCCACCAACUGCAGUGUGCGG